rnacentral:sRNA from 1 species
UUGAUUUUCAAAUGAUAAUGAUUAUUAUUGCGUCAGCGGUUCGCAAGAACCGCCGGGUAACCAGGAAGUCUUAGGUCGGCUUCCUGAUUAUCUCCUCAUCAGGCUAAUCACGGUUUUUGACCCGGCUUUUUAGCCGGGUCUUUUUUUG